GAUGAACGCUGGCGGCGUGCCUAAUACAUGCAAGUCGAGCGAACAGACGAGGAGCUUGCUCCUCUGACGUUAGCGGCGGACGGGUGAGUAACACGUGGAUAACCUACCUAUAAGACUGGGAUAACUUCGGGAAACCGGAGCUAAUACCGGAUAAUAUAUUGAACCGCAUGGUUCAAUAGUGAAAGACGGUUUUGCUGUCACUUAUAGAUGGAUCCGCGCCGUAUUAGCUAGUUGGUAAGGUAACGGCUUACCAAGGCAACGAUGCGUAGCCGACCUGAGAGGGGGAUAGGCCACACUGGAACUGAGACACGGUCCAGACUCCUAAGGGAGGCAGCAGUAGGGAAUCUUCCGCAAUGGGCGAAAGCUUGACGGAGCAACGCCGCGUGAGUGAUGAAGGUCUUCGGAUCGUAAAACUCUGUUAUUAGGGAAGAACAAAUGUGUAAGUAACUAUGCACGUCUUGACGGUACCUAAUCAGAAAGCCACGGCUAACUACGUG
rnacentral:rRNA from 1 species